CAAAUUCUAAGUGUUUUUCACAUGAAAAUUCUAAAUUUCUACGUUUUAUGAAUCCAAACAAGAGAAUUGGUGCAUGUCAGUUUAUAAAUUCUAACUUUUGUCUAAAUUCUAAGUUUAUUUUUCUCGUCAAAACAUAGUGUAAGAUGCAAAUUAUACAUGAUGUGGAGAACAAUUCAUACAAUGAUAUUGCAAAAUUCACACUUACUAAU
rnacentral:lncRNA from 1 species